GAUGAACGCUGGCGGCGUGCCUAAUACAUGCAAGUCGAGCGAACGGACGAGAAGCUUGCUUCUCUGAUGUUAGCGGCGGACGGGUGAGUAACACGUGGAUAACCUACCUAUAAGACUGGGAUAACUUCGGGAAACCGGAGCUAAUACCGGAUAAUAUUUUGAACCGCAUGGUUCAAAAGUGAAAGACGGUCUUGCUGUCACUUAUAGAUGGAUCCGCGCUGCAUUAGCUAGUUGGUAAGGUAACGGCUUACCAAGGCAACGAUGCAUAGCCGACCUGAGAGGGUGAUCGGCCACACUGGAACUGAGACACGGUCCAGACUCCUACGGGAGGCAGCAGUAGGGAAUCUUCCGCAAUGGGCGAAAGCCUGACGGAGCAACGCCGCGUGAGUGAUGAAGGUCUUCGGAUCGUAAAACUCUGUUAUUAGGGAAGAACAUAUGUGUAAGUAACUGUGCACAUCUUGACGGUACCUAAUCAGAAAGCCACGGCUAACUUCGUG
rnacentral:rRNA from 1 species